ensembl:lncRNA
AGUGGAGCUGAGAGUAUCUCAUAUAGAGAUUGCUGUGUUCUUAAGAAUCUUAUAGUUUUUCUGAAGGAGGGGGAGUGAGAGAGCAGUUGUGGUGAGUUUAGCAGCCCAUCAGAGUGAAACCUCCACAUAUGUCAUGACAAAAGUAUAUGUCAAGGAAACUACAACUACCCCAGCAGAAAAGGGAUCUCUGAGGUUGUGCAAGUGAAAGGUGACUAUUUCAGAUGUUAUUCUACAGAGGAAAUACUUGUGCACCUAAGUUCAAAAUUCUUGUGUCAGAGGAAGAUGAAAGAAAUGUCAAAACAGAAGAACAGGAAAAUUGAGAAAGCACAACAGCUGUGACAAGAAAAUAAUGUGAGCUUUAAUCAAUUAGCAAGAG